ACGACUACAGAGAGUUUGAUCAUGGCUCAGAGCGAACGCUGGCGGCAGGCUUAACACAUGCAAGUCGAACGGGCACUUCGGUGCUAGUGGCAGACGGGUGAGUAACACGUGGGAACGUACCUUUCGGUUCGGAAUAAUUCAGGGAAACUUGGACUAAUACCGGAUAAGCCCUUCGGGGGAAAGAUUUAUCGCCGAUAGAUCGGCCCGCGUCUGAUUAGCUAGUUGGUGAGAUAAUGGCUCACCAAGGCGACGAUCAGUAGCUGGUCUGAGAGGAUGAUCAGCCACAUUGGGACUGAGACACGGCCCAAACUCCUACGGGAGGCAGCAGUGGGGAAUAUUGGACAAUGGGCGCAAGCCUGAUCCAGCCAUGCCGCGUGAGUGAUGAAGGCCUUAGGGUUGUAAAGCUCUUUUGUCCGGGAAGAUAAUGACUGUACCGGGAAGAAUAAGCCCCGGCUAACUUCGUGCCAGCCGCCGCGGUAAU
rnacentral:rRNA from 2 species